UGAAAUUAUGGGCCAGAAUAUGUGUAGUACGAAGUUUUCAGGCUUGCAAUCAUCUUCACGUCGUUGGAUGAGGCCAAAACUUUUGAUUAUGCCAGGAAAAUCCUAUCCCUCUCAUCCGUCUCCAACUUCUCUUUUUGUGUAGGUUUCAAGAUUCUUGCAGAAAUCAUUCUUCUCCUUCCGAUUUGUGAAUUUUGAUAUCUAACUAUCGGCAAAACAAAUCUGCUUACCAGAUCCCAGACGCCAAUAGUGGACAUGAACGAGUAUCACAAACAUCAAUGAUGCAUAGUUUUGCUGAAAAUGCUCAACCUUCUCACGGUCAUACAGUCUGAUGUUCAAUAAUUUAGUGGGUGGAAGAUUUCAAAAUGAUGAAAAGCUGCGAAGAUCAUUUGAAGACCACCAUUCGCCUAGAUUAGUUAUAUAAUGACAUUAGCUAUUUAGU